rnacentral:rRNA from 1 species
GAUGAACGCUAGCUGCAGGCCUAACACAUGCAAGUCGAGGGACCGGCGCACGGGUGAGUAACAUGUAUACAACCUUCCUUUUACUCGGUGAUAGCCUUUCGAAAGAACUAUUAAUACCCGAUGUAAUGUGUCGGGAUGCGUUCGUUUAGGUUGUUGGUGAGGUACCGGCACACCGAGCCUUCCAUGGCUAGGGGUUCUGGGUGGAAGGGCCACCACAUUGGAACUGAGACACGGUCCACACUCCGACGGGAGGCAGGAGUGAGUAAUAUUGGUCACUGGGCGUUAGCCUGAACCAGCCAAGUAGAGUGAAGGAUGAAGGGUUAUGGGUCGUAAACUUCUUUUAUAUAAGAAUAUGUAUUAUAUGAAUAAGGAUCGGCUAACUCCGUGCCAGCAGCCGCGGUAAUAC